rnacentral:rRNA from 1 species
AGCAGCCGCGGUAAUUCCAGCUCCAAUAGCGUAUAUUAAAGUUGUUGCAGUUAAAAGCUCGUAGUUGAAUUUCGGGAUUGACGUGAUGGUCAUGCCUUAAGGGGUAUGAACUGUUGCUGUUGAUUUCUCACCUUCUGGAGAAACUUGAUGUCCUUUAUUGAGUGUCUUGCGGAUCCAGGACCUUUACCUUGAAAAAAUUAGAGUGUUUAAAGCAGGCAUUUUUGCUCGAAUACGUUAGCAUGGAAUAAUAGAAUAGGACGGCAUGGUUCUAUUUUGUUGGUUUCUAGGAUCACCGUAAUGAUUAAUAGGGAUAGUUGGGGGCAUUAGUAUUCAAUUGUCAGAGGUGAAAUUCUUGGAUUUAUUGAAGACUAACUACUGCGAAAGCAUUUGCCAAGGAUGUUUUCAUUAAUCAAGAACGAAAGUUAGGGGAUCGAAGACGAUCAGAUACCGUCGUAGUCUUAACCAUAAACUAUGCCGACUAGGGAUCGGAUGAUGUUAAUUUUUUAGUGACUCAUUCGGC